GCAGUCGAGCGAAUGGAUUAAGAGCUUGCUCUUAUGAAGUUAGCGGCGGACGGGUGAGUAACACGUGGGUAACCUGCCCAUAAGACUGGGAUAACUCCGGGAAACCGGGGCUAAUACCGGAUAACAUUUUGAACCGCAUGGUUCGAAAUUGAAAGGCGGCUUCGGCUGUCACUUAUGGAUGGACCCGCGUCGCAUUAGCUAGUUGGUGAGGUAACGGCUCACCAAGGCAACGAUGCGUAGCCGACCUGAGAGGGUGAUCGGCCACACUGGGACUGAGACACGGCCCAGACUCCUACGGGAGGCAGCAGUAGGGAAUCUUCCGCAAUGGACGAAAGUCUGACGGAGCAACGCCGCGUGAGUGAUGAAGGCUUUCGGGUCGUAAAACUCUGUUGUUAGGGAAGAACAAGUGCUAGUUGAAUAAGCUGGCACCUUGACGGUACCUAACCAGAAAGCCACGGCUAACUACGUGCCAGCAGCCGCGGUAAUACGUAGGUGGCAAGCGUUAUCCGGAAUUAUUGGGCGUAAAGCGCGCGCAGGUGGUUUCUUAAGUCUGAUGUGAAAGCCCACGGCUCAACCGUGGAGGGUCAUUGGAAACUGGGAGACUUGAGUGCAGAAGAGGAAAGUGGAAUUCCAUGUGUAGCGGUGAAAUGCGUAGAGAUAUGGAGGAACACCAGUGGCGAAGGCGACUUUCUGGUCUGUAACUGACACUGAGGCGCGAAAGCGUGGAGAGC
rnacentral:rRNA from 1 species